rnacentral:pre_miRNA from 1 species
CUAGUACUCCCUCUGUCCGAAAAUACUUGUCAUCAAAAUGGACAAAAAAAAUGUAUCUAGAACUAAAAUACAUCUAGAUACAUCCUUUUUUAUUCAUUUUGAUGACAAAUAUUUCCGGACGGAAGGAGUAUUCU